GCGGCGCAUCGGCUUCCGGCCCACCAUUAUCUUCCUAUCUCGAGCCCUCGAGGAGUUCGUCGCUGUGUGCCUGUGUGGUGCUGGGAUUUCGAGGUGCGGGUGACCUGUUAAGGCUCGUCUUCUGUUACAGCUUUUGCAGACUAGCUACAUUCAGCUUUCUUACAACAACUUCAUUUGCAGUUGAAGGCCAAAAAUAGGGUGCAAUUUUCAGCACAGAUUAUUACUUCAAUUCUAUCCCUUUUGAUAGUGAUGCUAAAGAGAAGCUCCAGUAUGUUGCAAUUUGACAGGUCAUGAGAGCUGCCAGAGUUACAACAGGAAAACAAAAGGUGGCCCUUUUAUCAUUAUACACAGCAUUUUGAUUUGAUUACUUAUCUCAUGAAGUUCUGUCCAGAAUUUCAGGCUUGACAAACAAGGGCGUGAAACAUUUAGUUACACGAAAUUUCAACCAACUUAUAGUAUCUUUAUGGUAAUAUUGGCAACUGUAAUCGAUAGAAAACAUGGCAAGCAUGGUGGGUAAAUCUUUUGCACGUUUUUCUUAAAUUAUGACAUCAAAGACUAUAAGGUUUAGUAACUUCCAAUAUCUUGAAUAAAAAAGAAGGGAUAAAGAAGAGGACAGCACCAUCUCACAAACAUUUGAUAAUUUUCUCACCUGAUCCUGAUGAAGUCAAAUUGGUUUGCGGAGUUUGUGAAAAAUUGCACGGACAUAUGAACUGGGGCUGCAAUUGGAUUGGCUGCUGGGAGUCGUGGUAGCCUGGGUGUGUGGCAUCACAAUGUUCAUAUGAACUUCCAUAGUAUCUACCUGCAUUCUGCAUGUUUUGUAGUGGUCUCUGUAAAUAAUUCUUUUCUAAUAGAGAUGGAAAAUGGA